UUGUGUUUACGCGACUCUAGUUCAGUUUCAGUUGCUCAUUCAGAAGUGCAGUCGCAGUCUUCUUUCACUCGGUGAAAUCUUGGCCCACAUAUGCCUACAGCCCCUGGAGAGAGGAGGAGAACAUAACCUAAGGAUUAACGGGAGAGAAAAGAAGUGAGGAGAAGAUCAUCAUACAGAGACAGACAGACCUUGGAGACUGGAGAAAGAGAGAGAGAGCAGAGGAGGAUCCCAGUCAGGAAAUAAAGCAGCAGAUAAAAAUUUUCAAAGGUGCAGACAACCAUGCCGGGCUGCGGGGCAUUACCACUGCCCCUACUGUUCACGGACAGUGAUAGGCAGAGUGAACAUGAAAAGGCAUUUGGUGUUAUGUCAACAUCAACUGACCUCCCCAUCCACGGAGCCUGACCUCCCUCGCGCCACAC